GGAUCUAUGAUGACAACAGGUAUCUGAGGACGUUGACUGACUUGAAUAUUUCAGAUCUGAGGUCU